rnacentral:rRNA from 1 species
GAUGAACGCUGGCGGCGUGCCUAAUACAUGCAAGUCGAGCGAACGGACGAGAAGCUUGCUUCUCUGAUGUUAGCGGCGGACGGGUGAGUAACACGUGGAUAACCUACCUAUAAGACUGGGAUAACUUCGGGAAACCGGAGCUAAUACCGGAUGAUAUUUUGAACCGCAUGGUUCAAAAGUGAAAGACGGUCUUGCUGUCACUUAUAGAUGGAUCCGCGCUGCAUUAGCUAGUUGGUAAGGUAACGGCUUACCAAGGCAACGAUGCAUAGCCGACCUGAGAGGGUGAUCGGCCACACUGGAACUGAGACACGGUCCAGACUCCUACGGGAGGCAGCAGUAGGGAAUCUUCCGCAAUGGGCGAAAGCCUGACGGAGCAACGCCGCGUGAGUGAUGAAGGUCUUCGGGUCGUAAAACUCUGUUAUUAGGGAAGAACAUAUGUGUAAGUAACUGUGCACAUCUUGACGGUACCUAAUCAGAAAGCCACGGCUAACUACGUGCCAGCAGCCGCGGUAAUACGUAGGUGGCAAGCGUUAUCCGGAAUUAUUGGGCGUAAAGCGCGCGUAGGCGGUUUUUUAAGUCUGAUGUGAAAGCCCACGGCUCAACCGUGGAGGGUCAUUGGAAACUGGAAAACUUGAGUGCAGAAGAGGAAAGUGGAAUUCCAUGUGUAGCGGUGAAAUGCGCAGAGAUAUGGAGGAACACCAGUGGCGAAGGCGACUUUCUGGUCUGUAACUGACGCUGAUGUGCGAAAGCGUGGGGAUCAAACAGGAUUAGAUACCCUGGUAGUCCACGCCGUAAACGAUGAGUGCUAAGUGUUAGGGGGUUUCCGCCCCUUAGUGCUGCAGCUAACGCAUUAAGCACUCCGCCUGGGGAGUACGACCGCAAGGUUGAAACUCAAAGGAAUUGACGGGGACCCGCACAAGCGGUGGAGCAUGUGGUUUAAUUCGAAGCAACGCGAAGAACCUUACCAAAUCUUGACAUCCUUUGACAACUCUAGAGAUAGAGCCUUCCCCUUCGGGGGACAAAGUGACAGGUGGUGCAUGGUUGUCGUCAGCUCGUGUCGUGAGAUGUUGGGUUAAGUCCCGCAACGAGCGCAACCCUUAAGCUUAGUUGCCAUCAUUAAGUUGGGCACUCUAAGUUGACUGCCGGUGACAAACCGGAGGAAGGUGGGGAUGACGUCAAAUCAUCAUGCCCCUUAUGAUUUGGGCUACACACGUGCUACAAUGGACAAUACAAAGGGCAGCGAAACCGCGAGGUCAAGCAAAUCCCAUAAAGUUGUUCUCAGUUCGGAUUGUAGUCUGCAACUCGACUACAUGAAGCUGGAAUCGCUAGUAAUCGUAGAUCAGCAUGCUACGGUGAAUACGUUCCCGGGUCU